UACGAAGGGGGCUAGCGUUGCUCGGAAUCACUGGGUGUAAAGGGUGCGUAGGCGGGUUUUUAAGUCAGGGGUGAAAUCCUGGAGCUCAACUCCAGAACUGCCUUUGAUACUGGGGAUCUCGAGUCCGGGAGAGGUGAGUGGAACUGCGAGUGUAGAGGUGAAAUUCGUAGAUAUUCGCAAGAACACCAGUGGCGAAGGCGGCUCACUGGCCCGGUACUGACGCUGAGGUGCGAAAGCGUGGGGAGCAAACAGG
rnacentral:rRNA from 1 species